UUUUAGUAAAUGUUGUGCAUGCCUUGGGUUCAGAGUGUUGGUUUGCUCAUACCAAACUUGUAUUUAAUACAACCCCACUGCAUUCAAAGCUCCACAAAGAGAGAGAAAUGGUUAGUGCAUCAGAGGAAGAGAAGGUGGGAAGCACCUAGAGAGAGAUAGAAGUUGCAGUUGUAGAUGCAAGAAACCCUAGCGAGAGAGAGAGAGUGUGAGUGAGAGAAGGUGGGAUUAAUUGGUUUGUGUUUUUGGAAGGAAAAGAUCAGAGAGAGUGAGAGAAUGGAAGGUGAAGGCAAAGAAGAUGGAUCCAUGGCCAUCAACACAUGGCUCAGUUGUCCCUGCCUUGAAUACUUUCUGAGAGCUGCUCUUAACUGCUUCGGUCUUUCUUCUUCUUCAGAUUCAGAUGGGAAUCAGAAAGUAGUUUCAGCUGAGGGAGAAAAAGAUCCUAAAACCACCACUGACACAAGCGGUGUUAUUUCAGUGCUUUCAAGAAGGCCUAAAAGGCCCGGAGUGAACCCGGGACGAGGUGGGCAGAUAAACUAAGUACUUAUCGUUAUAUGUGUGAAGAUUUCUGCAAGCUUUUCUUUCUGUUUAAUAGGGUUUAAUCUUUUGGAAUUGGACCAUAGAAGAUUUGAGUUUUCAGCCUUUUUUUUCUUUUUCUUUUUUUAAAUUUUUUGAGCCAAUGUAAAGAUAGUGGUUAUGAAAAUGAAACCACGUAAAAGACUUGGGGGAGUAGAAUGUAAAGAUCUGAGCAAAGUUCACC